CAUAAUGUGUGUGUGUGUGUGUGUGUGUGUGUGUGUGUGUGUGUGUUAUGUGCAUGAAGGCAAUGGACACAGCACUCCCACACAUUUUUUCUCUUCACUAUGGAAUUGUUUCAACAUAGCUGUUCUUAAACAACCAUUACAGCCUAGGAAGUCUGGAAUAGAUCAUGUGGCCCAGGCUCCUACCUCCAUGAAGUAAAGUUAUUUUUAAAAUCAUAUUUUAUUAAUAAAGGACCACCCUGUGGUGGGAGCUGUUCUUUUCGACCAUGCUGACCUCCAUCAAACCUUCCCAGCCCAGAGUCUCUUUGAUGAAACAUUAAACAAUAGAAUGUGCAGAAAUGAAAGCGGCUAUGAGCAACCUGAAGAUUAGUUUGCUCUAGUUGGAGUCCUGACCUGACAUCUUAUACAUGAUGCCUACUGUCUUGCUGAAUGACUGGUGGAGUUGAUGAUGCAGGUAGUUGGUCAUCAGGUUAGCUUUCAGCCAUACUGGUUCUGUAGGCUUGGCCUUCUCUGCCAACUCCCCAAGCACAUAUGCCUGAACAGAACAUGUGCCCACACUCUCAGCUGGUUUCUCAUCUUUGCUCCCUCCACUCCAACUACUGGCUCUCUGAUGACUGCUGGGAAGUUGGUGCCCAUCCCAACUCUGUUCUGAGCUUCCAACUGUCUUAUUGCUGCUCUGCCUAUCUGCCUUUUAUCUGCCCAUUGCUGGCCUCUGUGCUCUCUUUGUCCCUUGCUGGUGUCUUCUCCAGGUCUAAGACUCUCUUUUCUCUUCACUAUUCUCAUUUCUGUGCCUUAUAAGGCACCAUGAUAUGAGCCAGUAAGUUUCACCACUGUGUACUUAGGUUAGACAGACCCACAUACUCUAUAUACUUUAUAUUGAAAGCAGGAAGCCAGCCUGAGACUAUUCACAUGGUUUUCCUUUUCCUGUCUCUACACCUACAGAGAUAAGCGGGUGGAUAUUCUUUCUGUGAUUGUUCAUUAGUAGAUCUUUAGCACAUGAACACUGGAGCAGAAGAAUAACUGCAUCCUUGCACUCCACCCCCCAGUUAAUGUAGGAGUAUGUGUAUGAGAGAGAGAGAAAGAGAGACAGAGACAGAGACAGAGACAGAGAGACAGAGACUGAGACUUAGCUUUUAAGAAUCACUUUUUUUUUUAAAUCUCUAGGCUACUGUAUUUUAUAAACCUGUUCUGGGUGUGUCAGAACUAUAUUUGCCACUCCUCAGAACUAGAGUGUGUAGGGAUGGGAAGAAUCAAGAGGUAAAAUGUAUUCAUUUUAUAAGAUUUAUAAAGCUCAUUCAUCAGUCAGGCCAGUUUUCUGUGUUUUACUUCUGUAGCAAAUAGCUACUGGUGUGCUGGCUUUCAGCAUUGCAGACGUACCUAUCCCCAGGCCUUUAGACUUCUGACACACAUCCCAACAGGCUCUAAUCUAGGUGGUGGCUCACAGCAUUCUCUUUGGAGGCUGUAAGGGGGAAUUCAUUUCCUGGCUCCUGCACGGGGCCCAGAGGCAUCACAUUCCUGGGCUUUUGCUCUCCUUCCUCCACAGCCUGGCUUCUCUUCCCUUUCUCCAACAGGCCUAGCUCCCUGUGAGCUCAGGCAGAAAGCCUUCUGUUUUUAAGCCUCAUGUGAUUAGACAGAACACACUUUGAUAUACCAGGGCAAUCCCCUCUUUUCCACACCCACUCUUGAAUCACAUCUGUAAACUAACUUGGAAAGAGGCAGACACGGAAGAUAACAUAUUGUCGUGUUCUGAGGAUUAGAGAGUAGGGCGUGGAAUCUUGAGAGAGGGGAACUGUUUUGCCUCCAACAGCAAGUCCCGGAAUUCUAUAAGCAAUAAAAGAGAACAAAGUAACAUUUGGUAGGAAGGAAAGGCAGCAGGUCAUCUUGGUAUACAUUUUACAGUCCAUCUCUGGAGAGAAAAUGAGAUGAUCCUGAAGCCUGAAGCCAGUCAUGUUGUGUAAAGACAGCCACAUCUCAGGUUGUUUCAGUGUCUUCUGCCCUCCAGUUAAUAGGUUGAGUGAUAAUCCACGCAGUCCACAGGAUACACGUGUAGAAAUAAUUACAUUUGGCAUUUACUGACUCAUACUUAGCAACUGUGGCACUGGCGACAGCAUAGGGGUUAAGCAGGGAAAAACGUUGUCUAGCUAUGUGGAAUGAGGAGACUUAGCUCAAAUGAAUUAAAGCUGCUUCAAGGGAGUAUGAAGGGAGUUAGGUAGAUCUGCUCUCUGGCACUGAUUGGAGUUUUUAAAAGCUCUGUUCUUAUCUCUGUGUGGCACAAAGCUGUCCAUCAGAGAUCUCUUCCAUUCUCCACCAAGGCCCCCUAGGACAAUUGCUUCUGCUAUUUACCCAAGGAGUACCUGGACCCUAUGGGGCAGGGACCAGAGUUGUUCUGAUUUGAUAGAAAGUUGGACCCUCCAACACCAGGGCCUCUAUUGCUAUCAGAGAUGAGGAAAUGUAUGCAUAACACAAGCCAAGAUGGGGUGUCAUCUCCAGAUAUAGUCAACACCGCUCCUUUCCUCAGGGGCUGGAAUUUGGCGGUGUUCCAAGCUGUUGGUGACCAGCGCUUGGCGAUGAGAUCACCAUCAUAGUGCCACCGAUGCAGAAGGGCCUGCUGCUCUGGCAAGCGCCCAGGCAGACGACUGCCCUCCUCUCUCAGGGGAGUGCAAACACUAGACACGCUGUAAGGUCCAGCCCAUCACGGAGCAAGACCCUGAACUCUUCCGCCUUUGUGUGUGGUUUGCAUUUUUCUGUCAUGCUCCUUUUCCUGGAUAAAAGGGAUGAGGGGAGUUUUUCAGAUUUGAUUUCUCAGUGGGAACUGUUUGCUUUGGAAGCCACCUACACCAAUGCUAAUUGAGAACAGAGCACAGGAUGAGGGCCUGAGAAUGGCAGCCGAUGAACUUUUUGGUGGGCUGAAUUCUGUUCAUCAUGUCAGAACUGGGCUGUGAGUACAAGCAGGGGCCACUGUUUCCCAAAGGCUGCGCACUGCCUCAGCUUUCCCCAGUUCGACUUAUUACCCUCUCACACAUUAGUGAUUGAUUUCUCUGAGUCAAGCUUAUAAAGUCUUCAUUGUGAUCGUUCCCCGUCAUCCUAGCCCCUACAGCCCAGCAAUUUAGAGCCUGCAACUCCCCAAGUGCUCUGUAUCGUUCAGGUCUAAAUCUGAUGGGCUUCUAUUAGGGAGAUUACAGUAAAAAAUAACAAUCAGCUCUCAGAUGAUCCUGUGUGGAGGGGAAGGGUGGGGAGGAGUAGAUUUGGCUGAGGACAAGCCCAGACUUUCGUCACAGGGACAGACCCAAGUGUUAACACAAAGGGAAGGCAGGCGCAUCCUGCUCAGCGCAUUUCGGCCACAGAUAAUAUGGCCCGUGUGCUGGCCCAGCCCACACUCUGACCUCCAGGCGCCAGGUCCCCUACCUCAGUCACUCCUGCCCAGACCAGCUGCGGACAUGCUUAGCGGAUCCGGGUCCCAGGGAAGGCGCUGCCUGGCCACACUCUCUCAAAUUGCCUAUCAGAGAAAUGAUGAUGACGAAGAAGAGGCUGCCAGGGAACGGCGCCGCCGGGCCCGGCAGGAAAGGCUGCGGCAGAAGCAAGAGGAAGAAUCCUUGGGACAGGUGACAGACCAGGUGGAGGCCCAUGUCCAGAACAGUGUCCCCGAUGAAGAGUCUAAGCCAGCCUCCUCAAACACUCAGGUAGAAGGUGACGAGGAGGCUGCCUUACUGGAGCGCCUGGCUAGACGAGAAGAGAGACGUCAAAAACGCCUUCAGGAAGCCUUAGAGCGUCAGAAGGAGUUUGAUCCGACCAUAACAGAUGGCAGUCUCUCAGGCCCAAGCCGAAGAAUGCAAAAUGACUCCGCCGAAAAUGAGACAGCAGAGGGGGAAGAAAAAAGAGAGAGUCGCUCAGGACGGUAUGAGGUGGAAGAAACAGAAGUGGUCAUCAAGUCCUACCAGAAGAACAGCUAUCAGGAUGCUGAAGACAAAAAGAAAGAAGAAAAGGAAGAGGAGGAGCAAGAGAAGCUGAAGGGAGGGAGCCUUGGCGAAAAUCAGGUAGAGAAGAUGGUAGAGGAGAAAACACCAGAAAUCCAAGAGGAGGCUGUGCUGAUGGUAUUGGAAAACGGGCAGGUCAGCGCAGAAGAGUCCAAAAUAGAAGGGGAUGGGGAACAAGACAUGGAGGAGAUAGCCCGUCGAAAAAAGAUGGGGGAGGAAGAGAGAGAGAGAGCUGAGGCAGAGAGACUGAGGUUGGAAGUGGAGGGACAAGAACAAGAAAGAAUCAAAGCUGAGCAGGACAGAAAGCUAGCAGAGGAACGGGCAAGAGUCGAAGCAGAACAGAAAGCCGCUGCCGAGGAGAGGGAGAGGAGGGAGGCCGAGGAGAGGGAGAGAAGGGAGGCCGAGGAGAGAGAGAGGAGGGAGGCAGAGGAGCGUGCAGAGCAGGCGAGGAUCCAGGAGGAGCAGAGAAGAGUGGCUGAGGCACAGAAAAAGGCCAAGGCAGAGGAGGAGGAGAAGGCAAGGAUAGAAGAGCAAAGACAGAAACAGCAGCUGGAGGAGCAAAGGAGUGAGAAGCGAGAAGCCAAGGACAAGGGGGAGAAAGGAGCCGAGAAAGCAGACAGGAAAGGAGUGAAUGAAAGGGAGGCCCCAGACGACAGACUUCAGACAGCUGUCCCAAAGACGCAGGAAAAGGAAGAAGAGAAAGGAGUUAAAGGGCAAGCUCAAAGACAAAAGCCUCGGGAUGACAAGCCUGCCUUCAGAAAGGAAGAGAUCAAAGAUGAGAAGAUUAAAAAGGACAAAGAGCCCAAAGAAGAAGUCAAGAGCUUCUUGGAUAGAAAGAAAGGAUUUACAGAAGUGAAGGCGCAGAAUGGAGAAUUCAUGACCCACAAACUUAAACAAACCGAGAAUGCUUUCAGCCCCAGCCGUUCAGGAGGCCGGGCCAGUGGGGACAAGGAAGCUGAAGGUGCCCCACAAGUGGAAGCCGGCAAGAGGCUGGAGGAGCUGCGCCGACGCCGCGGGGAGACGGAGAACGAAGAGUUUGAAAAACUCAAACAGAAGCAACAGGAGGCAGCCUUGGAGCUGGAAGAGCUGAAGAAAAAGAGGGAAGAGAGAAGGAAGGUCCUGGAGGAAGAGGAGCAGAGAAGAAAGCAGGAGGAGGCUGAUCGAAAAGCUAGGGAGGAGGAAGAGAAGAGGAGGUUAAAGGAAGAGAUCGAAAGGAGAAGGGCAGAAGCUGCUGAGAAGCGCCAGAAGAUGCCAGAGGAUGGCCUGUCAGAGGACAAGAAGCCGUUCAAGUGCUUCACUCCUAAAGGCUCGUCUCUCAAGAUAGAGGAACGAGCAGAGUUUUUGAAUAAAUCUGUGCAGAAAAGUGGUGUCAGAUCUACUCACCAAGCAGCAGUAGUCUCCAAGAUUGACAGCCGGCUGGAGCAGUACACCAAUGCAAUCGAGGGAACAAAGGCUUCGAAACCUAUGAAGCCAGCAGCAUCGGAUCUCCCUGUUCCUGCCGAGGGCGUCCGCAAUAUCAAGAGCAUGUGGGAGAAGGGGAGCGUGUUCUCAGCCCCCUCUGCCUCAGGAACACCCAAUAAGGAAACUGCUGGCCUGAAGGUGGGAGUUUCCAGCCGCAUUAACGAAUGGCUAACUAAAUCACCAGAUGGCAACAAGUCACCUGCUCCCAAGCCUUCUAGAAUGAUGUCUUUCUCAGCUGGCUUCUCUUCUUCACUCUUUCGUCUCUGGUUGCCUGGAAACCUGCCUUUCCUGCCUUCAUUUCUCCCUCCUCUCCCAGAGUGGGUCUUUCUCUAACAUGUAGUCUGGUCAGGACUUGAGGCCAGGAGAUGUAUCUGGCAAGCGGAACCUCUGGGAAAAGCAAUCUGUGGAUAAGGUCACUUCCCCCACUAAGCAGGUCUGAAACAAUCGGAGAAAGAACCCAACUGCAAGCCAUCUCGCUGGGCCAGCUCAGUUGGAGAGGGCUAAUCGCUCUGUUUAUAUUUAUGUUUUCCAAUAUCCCAGUAAAUCCAUGUAUAUGCUCACUAUAUUUAAUAACCACAACUAGAGAUGUUCAUGGUCAAAGUACUGCCUUUGCAGAGGAGCCUGUUUCUAAAGAAACCAUGCUGUGAAGUAAACUCGCUACUGUCAUAUGAACAGUGACACCAACCACAUCGGAAGUCAACAAAAGGAAACUGAGCUUAAGAUUAUCUGAGGAAUGUAUGCAGUAUCUAGGGGCGAAACGACCCCGUAGGCUUUGUUUUGUCUCAGUACAGACAUCAUGUUUCUGCACUUUAGACUAAAGCAUGAAAGAAAUUAUCUAAAUAGGCAAUCAAAACUCUCUGAAAAUAAUCCACUUCAUAUCUGAUGUAGGGCAGUAAUGAUUGUCUGUUUUAAAAAAGAUGUAUUGUUGAGAUAUUGCUUUUUUUCUAUGCUGAUUCAUACCUAAAUUGGCUGAUUACUUUAGCUGACAGUGGUACUGACUUUUUUUCAGGUUAGUUGCUUUGUGGAUUUCUUUGGUAGUGAUAGUAGACUGAAUCACAUUUAGAUAACCCAACUAUGUAAUGAAUGUGCAUACGUGUAAACAGACACACUAAUGGUAGAUUACUCUUUCAUGUGCUAGACUAUUAUAUUUCAUAGUAUGUCCUUGUAACUAACUGAUAUCACAGCUUUUGAAGAUUAAGGAUCACAAUAGUAUAUUAAUAUUUCAUAUUUGCCAACAGAAAUAUGGAGUUAGGUAUAGCUAUGUUUUCAAUGCCCAAUGACUUAUAAGAAAAAAAGUAUUGGAAAAAAAAAGAGAAUACAAGUGUCAAAAUUGGUUGAAAUUUCUUAUAAGACAUAGUAUUUAGUUUAUAAUUGAGGGCAGUCUUGAAGUCCAGUGUGAAUUUUAUUAAGUCUACAAUCUGGACAAAGCUCAAACCCUGCUUAUUUGCGACCGUGAUGUUCACCCCCACCCCCACCCCACGUCAAAAAGUUGACCUGUAUUAUAUCUAAGGUGUCUCCUUCUCUACCACUUAGAACCAAGCAUUUUGGUGACUAGUGCACAAAUUAGUAUUCAUGUAGAUGUCUAAAGAAAGACCAACUUUGCCUCCUGUAGAAGCAGGCAGGUAACGUGAGCAGAAGCAUGGCAGUCCUAUCUUUAUGUACUCACACUCUUUAAAUUAAAUGUUUCCGCCUUUAUUAGUCAGUUGGUACGGUCAUAAGUUGAUAACAUCUUGAAAUUUGAAUUUUUUAUGUAAAUUUUAGUAGUUUUACUCCCCCCUCCCACCAAGGCUCUUUAAGGAACUCAUCAUUCAUAUAUCAGAUCCUAUUUUAGCUUACGUCUUUAUUCUUCCCAAUAGAUAAAAGUACUCUAGUGUCUUACAAAAAUGUUCUUAUCUAGAACAUUCUAUGCAUACAGCGUCAUUGUACAAACUCAUACCUCAGCUGACUUAACCAAAAUUAUCUUAGUCUCCACUCCUUCCACAGUAGGAGAGCCUCUAACAUUUCCAAUCCACAGAUUUCUUUUCAAGAGGAAAGGGUUGGCUUGAGGGUUUUUCAAGGGUUGGCCUUGAAAAAGUCUAUCUUUCUCGUGAAUUAGUAAGAGUUAGUUGGAUUCCCUAGCUUUUAGCAAACUUGGGCCAAAGGAAGAAAAGCCACUAAGACUGCACAAGUCAUCUACCCCCGACAGAGUAGACACAAGUCUAUGGUAAGACGAACAGAGUGCACAUGGCACACCCAUGAAAAUGACUUCCAUCGUUGGAGUACAAUGGAUCAAAGUUCGAUCUUAGGCAGAUGCUGAGGGAUCAUGCUCAUGUUAAUGAGGCCUUCUCUUGCUAUAUCUUACAGGCUUUUUGCUUGUUGUUUUUGCUUUUAAGAACGUUCAAAGUUGUGAGAUGACUGUUUUGAUCCUAAAUUUUAUUCCAACAUUUGGAUGACGAUGAGUUUUAGGGUAGAUUUUUCUCCGUUUGGAUUUAACCUUUGAAGAAGCAAAUUCCUCCUCUACUUGUUUGAUUACAGCUCUCUGUUAUCUUUAAGAGAGGAAACUGCAAGCUGACUAGCAUGUUCUGUGAAUCUGCCAUUGUUAAAAAACCUUAUAAACACUUAAUAUUUUUCACUGAUAAUUGAUCGCUGCAAUAAAAAUAUAUUGUGAAAAUGCAUCCACAAUAAAUGGAAUUCUUCCAGA